AUUGAACGCUGGCGGCGGGCCUAACACAUGCAAGUCGAGCGAGCGGCGGACGGGUGAGUAAUGUCUGGGAAACUGCCUGAUGGAGGGGGAUAACUACUGGAAACGGUAGCUAAUACCGCAUACCAUCAGAUGUGCCCAGAUGGGAUUAGCUGGUAGGUGGGGUAACGGCUCACCUAGGCGACGAUCCCUAGCUGGUCUGCGAGGAUGACCAGCCACACGGGAACUGAGACACGGUCCAGACGCCUAAGGGAGGAAGCAGUGGGGAAUAUUGGACAAUGGGCGCAAGCCUGAGGCAGCAAUGCCGCGUGGGGGAAGAAGGCCUUCGGGUUGUAAAGCCCUUUAAGCGGGGAGGCGUUACCCGAAGAAGAAGCACCGGCUAACUCCGUGCCAGCAGCCGCGGUAAUAC
rnacentral:rRNA from 1 species